rnacentral:rRNA from 1 species
UCCAGACUCCUACGGGAGGCAGCAGUGGGGAAUAUUGCACAAUGGGGGGAACCCUGAUGCAGCGAUGCCGCGUGGAGGAAGAAGGUUUUCGGAUUGUAAACUCCUUUUAUCAGGGACGAUAAUGACGGUACCUGAAGAAAAAGCUCCGGCUAACUACGUGCCAGCAGCCGCGGUAAUACGUAGGGAGCAAGCGUUAUCCGGAUUUACUGGGUGUAAAGGGCGUGUAGGCGGGAGAGCAAGUCAGACGUGAAAUUCCAGGGCUCAACCCUGGAACUGCGUUUGAAACUGUUCUUCUUGAGUGAUGGAGAGGCAGGCGGAAUUCCGUGUGUAGCGGUGAAAUGCGUAGAUAUACGGAGGAACACCAGUGGCGAAGGCGGCCUGCUGGACAUUAACUGACGCUGAGGCGCGAAAGCGUGGGGAGCAAACAGGAUUAGAUACCCGAGUA